rnacentral:rRNA from 1 species
UCUCUUAAUUGGUGACUUGUAUGAAAGAUUGGAUGAGAUAUAAACUGUCUCUAAUUGAUUUAUAAAAAUUAAUUUUUUAGUAAAAAAGCUAAAAUAAUUUUAAAAGACGAGAAGACCCUAUAGAGUUUAAUAUUUUAUUUAGUAAUUAUUAAUAUAUGUAAUUUUAAAAAUUAAAAUUAAAUGAAAUAUUUUGUUGGGGUGAUAAAAAAAUUAAAUUAACUUUUUUUGAUUGUAAACAUUAAUUUAUGAUUAAAUGAUCCAUUUAUAGUGAUUAAAAGAAAAAAUUACCUUAGGGAUAACAGCGUAAUUUUUUUUUUUAGUUCAAA